rnacentral:rRNA from 1 species
GAUGAACGCUAGCGGCAGGCUUAAUACAUGCAAGUCGAGGGGGCAGCAAUGUCACCGGCGAACGGGUGCGUAACGCGUAUGCAACCUACCUACAUCAGGGGGAUAGCCCUAGGAAACUGGGAUUAACACCGCAUAACAUAUGACAAGGCAUCUUGUUAUAUUGAAAUAUUUAUAGGAUGUAGAUGGGCAUGCGUAGGAUUAGCUAGUUGGUAAGGUAACGGCUUACCAAGGCUACGAUCCUUAGGGGCUCUGAGAGGAGUAUCCCCCACACUGGCACUGAGAUACGGGCCAGACUCCUACGGGAGGCAGCAGUAGGGAAUAUUGGGCAAUGGAGGCAACUCUGACCCAGCCAUGCCGCGUGCAGGAAGACGGUCCUCUGGAUUGUAAACUGCUUUUGAAUGGGAAGAAUGUGCUUCUUGCGAGAGGUAAUGACGGUACCAUUAGAAUAAGCCACGGCUAACUACGUG